GUGGGGAAUCUUGCGCAAUGGGCGAAAGCCUGACGCAGCCAUCCCGCGUGAAUGAUGAAGGUCUUAGGAUUGUAAAAUUCUUUCACCGGGGACGAUAAUGACGGUAACCGGAGAAGAAGCCCCGGCUAACUUCGUGCCAGCAGCCGCGGUAAUACGAAGGGGGCUAGCGUUGUUCGGAAUUACUGGGCGUAAAGCGCACGUAGGCGGACAUUUAAGUCAGAGGUGAAAGCCCGGGGCUCAACCCCGGAAUUGCCUUUGAAACUGGAAAACUUGAAUCAUGGAGAGGUCAGUGGAAUUCCGAGUGUAGAGGUGAAAGUCGUAGAUAUUCGGAAGAACACCAGUGGCGAAGGCGACUGACUGGACAAGUAUUGACGCUGAGGUGCGAAAGCGUGGGGAGCAAACAGGAUUAGAAACCCGGGUAGUCC
rnacentral:rRNA from 1 species